rnacentral:rRNA from 1 species
GGAAUCUUGGACAAUGGGGGCAACCCUGAUCCAGCGACGCCGCGUGGGUGAUGAAGGCCUUCGGGUUGUAAACCCCUUUCCCCGGGGACGAUGAUGACGGUACCCGGCGAAGACGCCCCGGCUAACUCCGUGCCCUCCGCCGCGGUAAGACGGAGGGUGCUAGCGUUGUUCGGAAUCACUGGGCGUAAAGGGCGCGUAGGCGGCCUGGGAAGUCGGCUUGUGAAAGCCCGGGGCUCAACCCCGGAGGUGCGGCCGAUACUCCUAGGCUCGAGGCCGGAAGAGGAGGGUGGAAUACCCAGUGUAGAGGUGAAAUUCGUAGAUAUUGGGUGGAACACCGGUGGCGAAAGCGGCUCUCUGGUCCGGUCCUGACGCUGAGGCGCGAAAGCGUGGGGAGCAAAC